rnacentral:rRNA from 1 species
GACGAACGCUGGCGGCGUGCUUAACACAUGCAAGUCGAACGAAGUGGCGAACGGGUGAGUAACGCGUAAUCAACCUGCCCUUCAGAGGGGGACAACAGUUGGAAACGACUGCUAAUACCGCAUACUGAAGGAGGGGAUUGCGUCUGAUUAGCUAGUUGGCGGGGUAACGGCCACCCAAGGCGAUGAUCAGUAGCCGGUCUGCUCGGAGGAGCGGCCACAUUGGGACUGAGACACGGCCCAGACUCCGACGGGAGGCAGCAGUGGGGAAUCUUCCGAAAUGGACGAAAGUCUGACGGAGCAACGCCGCGUGAGUGAGGACGGCCUUCGGGUUGUAAAGCUCUUUUAAUCGGGACGCGGUACCGGAAUAGAAAGCCACGGCUAACUACGUGCCAGCAGCCGCGGUAAUAC